GAUGAACGCUGGCGGCGUGCCUAAUACAUGCAAGUCGAGCGAACAGACGAGGAGCUUGCUCCUCUGACGUUAGCGGCGGACGGGUGAGUAACACGUGGAUAACCUACCUAUAAGACUGGGAUAACUUCGGGAAACCGGAGCUAAUACCGGAUAAUAUAUUGAACCGCAUGGUUCAAUAGUGAAAGACGGUUUUGCUGUCACUUAUAGAUGGAUCCGCGCCGCAUUAGCUAGUUGGUAAGGUAACGGCUUACCAAGGCAACGAUGCGUAGCCGACCUGAGAGGGUGAUCGGCCACACUGGAACUGAGACACGGUCCAGACUCCUACGGGAGGCAGCAGUAGGGAAUCUUCCGCAAUGGGCGAAAGCCUGACGGAGCAACGCCGCGUGAGUGAUGAAGGUCUUCGGAUCGUAAAACUCUGUUAUUAGGGAAGAACAAAUGUGGAAGUAACUAUGCACGGCUUGACGGUACCUAAUCAGAAAGCCACGGCUAACUACGUG
rnacentral:rRNA from 1 species